rnacentral:lncRNA from 1 species
CUCUUUUUAUUUUUUUCUCAGGUCCCACUUCAGCCGGAGAAACAAGAAUCACUUGGAAGCCACUCCCCUAUCAUUAGCCAAUAUGCCGCACAACACUACCUCCACCCAGACCAAAGCCUACAAGAUCACACUGGCACUGUCGCCAACAUCAGCAUCCAUUCACACACUGACCACCAGAGCCUUGACCACAACACUCCCGACCACAACAACACUCCUCCUAACCACGAGAGUCCCAUCCACAACACAUCCGACCACUACAACAAUCACAUUAACCACGAGAGUCCCGUCCACAACACACCUGAGAACCCCAAUCCGACCAUCUUCUUUUUGUCCACCACGAACUCCCAUUCCCAUAGGAACCACAAACCGAUGCUCCACCCAUUACCAAACACAUCUCAUCCAUCUGCAUUAGCUCCGCGAAAUAGAUUCGUUAGAGAGACACAACAUGUUUAAGAGAUUUAUAGUUGACUCGGCUCAUUUUCUCUUUCAAUGUAUCUCUCAACACAAACCCAAGCUCUAGCGAAAAAGGAUGUCUUCACCUACUUUCACCAUCGAUGUAUUCCUCUUAAUUGCAUCAUCUACCAAGCAACAUUGUAAAAUGCUAGCAUAUCCCCAGCUGUUAGAUCUUAUGUCUAUAAACAGAUCUAACGUCCCAAAACAACUCACCUUCUCUGAUAUAUCUACCUUUUAGUUAAUACAUUUAUCAUUUAUUGCAAUUAGAAACAAAUUUAGUUACAACUCUCUAACCUCCUUAAAAGAAGAACUCUUCUCAUUACACAAAAGCAAAGUCAAUUUUGUCUCAAAUAAAAUAGGUGGCAAGAGAAUGUGUGUCAUUUUCACAUUUUCGCAAUGUGUACCUUAGUGAAAACAUAAAUCAUAAAAUGUUCUUCUACGUAACUCUCUCAUAAAUAUUAGUAUUUUAAUUAUGAAUGAAUUUCAAUAUGGGGAAGAAAAAAAAAGACUACUCUCUCCUCUUUUUAUAGUCAGUAGACUCGCCUCAAAAAUUCAGAAAUGCUUUUGCUUAAUUAACCUCAAAACAUGGCUUCCUUUGUCUUCUUCACCUUCUUUCCUGAAAGUUUCUGCGUUUAAACGUAUCCCCUAUGGCGGAGAAAGCCCAGAAAACACUCAUUCUCCUAGCGAAUCUAAUCAAAGUUCCUCCACUGAAAACCUUCUCUCUCUUGAAUCCAUCCAAUCUUCACGGAGUUCAACACACACACGAAUCAUUCUCAGUCCUCCUUCAUCUCCUUCUCUCUGGAAACUUACUCCCUCACGCUCAAUCUCUCCUACUUCAAGCGAUCACCAGAAGAAUCCACUCCCAAUCCUUCACUCCUUCCUCACUCUUACGGUACUUAACACAAUCAGAAACUUCAAAACCCAACUCUCGACUCUACGAAGUAAUCAUCAGUACAUGCAUCCAAUCUCAAUCCCUAGACUCCGCGGUCUCCUACUUCACCGAGAUGAUCGAUAAGGGUCUUGUCCCCGGAUGGAAUUGCUUCAACAAUCUCUUAACUUUCGUUGCGGGGUCGUCUUCUUUCGACGAGUUCUGGGCUUUCUUCAAUGAGAACAAGGGGAGAGUCGUUCUCGAUGUGUACAGCUUCGGGAUCGCGAUCAAAGCAUGUUGCGAAUCUGGUGAAAUCGACAAGAGCUUUCACCUUCUUGCUGAGUUGAGAGCAAAUGGGUUUUCACCAAACGUCGUUAUCUACACUACUUUGAUCGACGGGUGUUGCAAGAGAGGAGAGAUCGAAAAGGCCAAAGCUUUGUUUUUCGAAAUUGAGACGAUCGGGUUAGUGGCUAAUGAGCGUACUUACACGGUUUUGAUUCACGGGUUGUUCAAGAACGGGCUUACGAAACAAGGGUUUGAGACGUACGAGAAGAUGAAGGAGGAUGGGAUUUUACCCAAUCUCUACACUUACAACUGUGUGAUGAAUCAGCUUUGUAAAGACGGAAGAACGAAAGACGCGUUUAAAGUGUUCGACGAAAUGCGUGAGCGAGGGGUUUCGUGUAAUGUUGUUACUUACAAUACUUUAAUCGGUGGGUUGUGUAGAGAGAUGAAUGCGAGUGAAGCUUGUAGGUUGAUGGAACAUCUGAAGAGCGAUGGGAUCAACCCGAAUUUGAUCACUUACAACACUUUGAUUGAUGGGUUUUGUAACGUGGGGAAGUUAGGCAAGGCGUUGAGUUUGUGCAGAGAUCUGAAGUCUAGAGGUAUGUCUAUGUCUCUAGUCACGUAUAAUAUUCUAGUUUCUGGGUUUUGUAAGAAGGGAGAUACUUCAGGAGCAGCUAAGAUAGUUAAGGAGAUGGAAGAGAGAGGGAUUAAACCUUCGAAAGUUACAUACACGAUUCUCAUUGAUACGUUUGCUCGGUCUGAUAACAUGGAGAGAGCAAUCCAGCUUCGAACGUCGAUGGAGAGUUUAGGAUUAGUUCCGGAUGUUCAUACUUAUAGCGUGUUGAUUCACGGGUUUUGCAUCAAAGGUCAGAUGAACGAAGCAUCGAGGCUUUUUAGAUCGAUGGUCGAGAAGAAGGUAGAACCUAACGAGGUGAUCUACAAUACGAUGAUUCUUGGGUAUUGUAAGGAAGGUAGUUCUUAUAGAGCGUUGAGGUUGCUAAGAGAGAUGGGAGAUAAAGAGUUGGCUCCAAAUGUUGCUAGCUAUAGUUAUUUGGUUGACGUUCUUUGUAAAGAAAAAAAAUUGAAAGAGGCUGAGGAUUUGGUUGAGAAGAUGAUUGGUUCAGGGAUGUAUCCAUCUGCUUCAGUAUGUAAUAUGAUCUCUAGUGCCAAAAAUGGUUCGCUUAUAGCUCAAACAAAUGAUAAGAGCUGUUUAAAUGUGACUUAAAUUUACACUUCUUUUUUCAUUCCGUUUUCUUUUUUCAUUCCGUUUUUCACUUAAAUUUACACUUUUUCAGUCACUUAACCCCAUUCCAUGAUUUAUUUCAAAAUAGAAUUUAAAACAAAAAAUCUGACUUUAAUUGGUAACAUGUGGUAACAUUGAUUUAGUUUGAGUUGAGAGUUUAAUUCAUAGAUAACUCAAAAUAUCACCAAUCAUGCAUUAAAUUUAAUUUUUUUUUAUUUUAAAUUUGAGUUAUCAUGUAUUAUGGUUGAAUUACAAUUUUGAUUUACACCCUUUGUAAAAUUGUUAAACCAAAACUUAAUGCAACAUCAUGAUCAAUCCAAUGUUUUAGGAUUUGAGUUACAAUUAUAAUUAAAGUUUCUGUCUAAAAUACAAAGUGAAUAAUAAAUCUGAAACACUCUACCUCCGCGUACGAAAACUGUUAUACGUUUUGGAAUUUUUUUGUUUGUAAAUAAAAUAUUAUUUGUAUUUCCAAAACCACCAUAGCAAUAUCUUAUUCUUAUUUCUGGAAAUAUUUUUAAUAAUAUUAUAUACUUCACAUCAUUUUGUGUUAAUCAAAUAUUUUUUUAUUCUCUUUCUUGUUCCUAUUUUUGAAUUAUUAAAUUAUUAUCUUACAUAAUCUUAUUAGUUGUAGAUUUUAUUUGGAUUGAAAAUUUAUAAAUUAUUUUGUUAUUGAUAUCGGAUAAAUAAUAUCAUCAGUAAGUUUAGUUCUUAGAAAAAUAUAUAUUGCAGCUUAUCUUUUGUUAAAAUUUAUUUUUAUACAUAUUAAAAAUAAUUUUAUUAUUUAUUUUAUUUUAAAUAGGUUAAUAGUUUUUGUUAUUAAUAAUAAUUCAUUAUUAUAUGUUUAUAUUUAUAUUUAUUUUAUUGAAAAUUAUACUGUAAAUUAUACAUCAAAAAGGUUACAAGUCAUCAGUUUUACUAAAAUAGUAACUCUAAUUUUUACUGCAAAACUUACCACAUAAAGUUACAGUUUUUACCACAUAAUUUUUACUGCAAGUUACAUCGAAUUGUAAUACAUAUUGCAACUCGACUUCAAUGCUACAUGUCAUCAAUUAGAACCUAAGUAUAUUCCAUUUUAUGCUGUAUAAUGAAAUAAAUAUGGAUUUAUUCUAUGGAAUAAUCAUUUUAUUGUUACUUCAUUAUUCUAUUUUCCACUCAAUUUGUGGAGUAUGGUUCAAAUAAAUUCAAUUCCAUUUUGGAGUGAAAACUAAAGUUUGACAUCCAUGUAGUAGAGCAUUUCCAAUAAAAAAGAAAUCUAUUUUUCUCCGAAAUAGAAUAAUUUUAUAUUGGAAUUGAAUUUGUUCCAACCAUAUUCUAUUUUUGGAACGAAAAUUGAAAUAAUGAACAAAAAAUAAAAUGAUUGUUUCAUUUAUAGAGUAAACAUUCCAUUAUAAAGUGGAAAAUGAAAUUGAAUUUGUUCCAAACUCCAUUUUGAAGUAAAUUAUGAAGUAUGAAUAGAGAUGCUCUUACAAGAUUAAGAUUAUCCUUUUUGAUAAUGAUUUUUUUGUUUCUUCUGAUUCAACAUUAUUCAUUGGUUUAGUUUGGUUUACUUAUAAACCAACUCCAACUCUACCAUUACAGAAAUUAGAAAACCAAAUCAACCGUUGGAAAAAUAUUAAGAGAAGAAAACAUAGCAGUUUCUCAAAACAAAACCACCAUUUUUCUUCUUUCGCGUGUCCGAUUAAGAAAGAGAGAUGGAUCACGCGAUGUUAAUUGCUCUUAUAAUCGCCGCAGCUUUCCUCUUUGUAUUCAACAAAGUGGACGGAGUCCAGAUCUUGUCUAAAUCAAAGCUAGAAAAGUGUGAGAAGACAAACGAUUCAGGAAACCUCAACUGCUCAACUAAAAUCGUCUUGAAUCUCGCUGUCCCCAGUGGAUCCGUAAGCCUUGUUAUAUUUGUGCGCUAUAUCAUAUGAUUUUUUUGCUCAUCACAUUAUGUUUUUUUCCGUGACGACGAAUAAGAGCGGAGGAGAGGCUUCGAUUGUAGCCGAGAUCGUCGAAGUGGAAGAUAAUUCGAGUAGCAACAUGAAGACCGUACGUAUCCCACCGGUUAUCACAGUGAACAAAUCAGCAGCAUAUGCUCUCUAUGACCUAACUUACAUUAGGGUACGUAUGAAGUUAUGUUUUACUGUCUUAAAUGGGUUUGGUUUAAAGUUGAUUAUCAUCAUGAAUCAGUCUCUAAUCUUGGUUCAGGAUGUGCCUUAUAACCCUCAAGAGUUUCACGUUACCACUCGAAAGUGUGAGCCAGAUGCUGGACCAGAUAUCGUUGGAAUAUGCGAGAGGCAAAUAUCUUUCUUUACGAUAUAUAUAGUUCUUUCUUGUUUAGCUUUAACGGUAAAUACUUAUCGGAACAGGCCGAGACGCCGGAAGGGAGUAACGGCGUCGUGUCGAUGAUUCCGUCGGAAUUGGCCCUACCGACGCGAGAAGAAGGCGGAGAGGCCGCAGAAUCCGGUCCCGUCGUGUUCGUGCAGACUCAGCCUGUCUGUUGUCCAUGUGGACCACAAACAAGAGUUCCUUCAUCUUGUGGAGACAUAUGUACGUGUUUCUUUGUCUUAACAUUUUCAAUCUCUUUGGUUUAACAUUCAAUCUCUUUGGUUAAUAAAAUUUGGGUACUAUAAACAUUUUAGUAUAAAAUUUUAUUUUAUUUUUUUACUAUUUCUGGAACCAUAAAACGUAUGAUAUUAGUUGUUUAAAAUUUGUGUGCGAGUGUUAAUGGUUCACUGGAUUAUGCUUAGAGGAAGCGUUAUUUGUAUGUUGUGAAGAAUAAUUUACAACUCUCAUUUUCUUCACUUGACUUUUAUCAGUUGAGAAGUUGAUAAAAGGGAAAGCAAACACUGCGCAUUGCCUUCGUUUCCCUGGUGACUGGUACAGAUCCUCACUAAAUGUGGAUUUACUCUAAAGGUUGUUUUCAGGAUUCUUGAAGUUUGUCCAUUUGUUUGAUCUCUCUCUCUCCUGUAGGUACCACGUUUUCAGCAUUGGACAACGGUCUCUAGGGUUUAGCGUGCGUAUUGAGUUGAAGACAGGAACUAGAGUUUCAGUAUGUCUACUUCAUUGCUUCAAGCUUAGCUUUGUUCCGGAGUUAUUCUGUCUUUUAUGAUUCUUCUUUAACUGGCAGGAAGUGAUCAUUGGUCCUGAAAAUAGAACAGCUACUGCAAAUGAUAACUUCCUCAAGGUUAAUCUCAUAGGAGACUUUGCUGGUUACACAAGUAUUCCUUCUUUUGAGAACUUCUAUCUUGUAAUCCCAAGAGAGGUAUAAAUAACUCUAUAUCCAUUUGAAAUCUUUUAACUUAAUGAGCCGUAUUACAAAAAUGCUAGAAGAAUAUUUUGAAUAGGUGGCGGCAGAGGGACAGCCAGGGAACUUAGGUGGAAACUACUCAAUGUGGAUGCUGCUUGAGAGAGUGAGAUUUACAUUGGAUGGCAUAGAGUGUGACAAGAUCGGUGUUGGCUAUGAAGCUUAUAACAACCAACCAAACUUCUGUUAUGCACCAUAUUGGAGUUGCUUGCAUAAUCAACUUUGGAACUUCCACGAGGUCAGUACUUAAGAAACAAGACCGAACAUAGUCCAAUGAAACAUUGUCACUGAGCUAAUAUACAUAAAUCAUAUGAUUGUUAAAUUAUCAAACUAUUAAGAUUUACACCUUUCACCGACUCUUUUUAUUUUUUUCUCAGGUCCCACUUCAGCCGGAGAAACAAGAAUCACUUGGAAGCCACUCCCCUAUCAUUAGCCAAUAUGCCGCACAACACUACCUCCACCCAGACCAAAGCCUACAAGAUCACACUGGCACUGUCGCCAACAUCAGCAUCCAUUCACACACUGACCACCAGAGCCUUGACCACAACACUCCCGACCACAACAACACUCCUCCUAACCACGAGAGUCCCAUCCACAACACAUCCGACCACUACAACAAUCACAUUAACCACGAGAGUCCCGUCCACAACACACCUGAGAACCCCAAUCCGACCAUCUUCUUUUUGUCCACCACGAACUCCC